CGCCUCCGUCCUCGUGAGUUCAAAGUGGAUUUUAACCGUUUACCUCAGACGACAGUUUUCAUUUCUAUGGCAAAUUCUAAGGUCAUUUUCUUGUUGUGUUUUGAUGUUUUCCAUUGGCUGAAGAGCAGAUUAAUUACCAUGCAAUUUGAAGAAUUGUGAUAAAAUACACAGAGGUGAAGUCAUGUGUCUUUCCAGAUGCCCAAUCUGUACCACUCAAAAAGUAAUGAAGUGACAGUGUACCAUGACAAAAAAUAUGAGCCUGAAGAGGAGAUUUGGGAAGAUGCUGUUUAUAAGUCUUUGCUUUGCCAGAUCACCUGUGGUCGAGAUGUCUGCUAACAAGAUGCCUUGUUGGUCUGGGCGAGUUUGAAGUCUCUCACAGACAGUCCAGAAGGUCUGGAGUCCAUCUUAGCUUUUAUUGAUGCUGUCAUCAGGUUUUAAGUACAGUAUGAGCCAGAAUGGAAGGGUGUUGGUGGCCAUAAGAAGACUGUGAGCUAAACCUACAACAAAAUUCAUAUUUGCAGUUUUCCUAGAAUAUUUUUUUCUAUUCAGAUGAAUAAAAUGACUUUUAAAUAUUA